GAACAGUCUGUUCAUUUCAUUGGCCUAUUUGAGACUGGCAUCGUUGUUUUGAUGAUUCGUUUUUUGCAGAUCCCUAUCUCACCAUGUAGAUCACCAGUUUCAGUUAUUAAGUCAAGGUCAAGUUGACUCUCGUACUAGGCUGGCCUCCUCAUCUUUUGGUUCUUUCCUGUGUAGAAGCCUGUUAGUGCAAUGCAGCCUCAUGUCAGCUCUUGCUGUGAACAUACUGGUGUCCUAGAAGAUGAGUCGGCACACACUCUAAGCUCCGAGACACUUCACACCGCUUUUCUAGCUUCUCUUGUUGGCUCCUUAAAAAGCAAGGCUUCCUUUGAAUUUCUCACUGACUUCGGAAAACGGCUCCUGCAGCCCCUUCUUUUUUAAUUUCACCCUUUGCCUGUUUAAGAAGGUUUCUUUGUGGAUCUCAAUUAAAACACACUUAGUGGUUGGUUGUCUCACAAGAAUAAAGGCAAGCACACGAAGGGAGAUCAUAUAGGGAGCUUGGUUUACGGUCCUGACAUCAUGGAGCGUUCUGGCUAUGAGCCACCUUCACUUCUCAACAUGGCAGCGACAACCAGCCACACAGAGUUCAUAAGCCAGAGCUGCACUUUACAGCAGGGCGUGUUCAGAUCGCCAUCAGCCAUGCACAGCAGUGGAGGUGCACAGCAGUGGAGGCUGCACAGCAGUGGAGGUGCACAGCAGUGGAGGCUGCACAGCAGUGGAGGUGCACAGCAGUGGAGGUGCACAGCAGUGGAGGUGCACAGCAGUGGAGGCUGCACAGCAGUGGAGGUGCACAGCAGUGGAGGUGCACAGCAGUGGAGGCUGCACAGCAGUGGAGGCUGCACAGCCGUGGAGGUGCACAGCAGUGGAGGGUGCACAGCAGUGGAGGUGCACAGCAGUGGAGGCUGCACAGCAGUGGAGGCUGCCUGUCUCUGCCAAGACCUACAAACACAAGGCCAUUGUGCAGAAGAGUCCAGCCUCUUCUCUGUAAGGUUGGCAUGAUGCUUCACGGUAAGCUGAUACAUGAGCAGCUAAUAAAAAAAAUUAUGUGGGAAUCAGAAGGAAAAAGAAAAGGGGAGGAAAGGACAGGAAGGAAAUUUAAUACAGCUAAUUUAAUUAUUUGCAAUGUUUGAAUGGGAAAAGCGCUAGUUGUCUCCAAACAGUAUUCUUAAAACUGAAAAUAUAAUUUCACCAGCAAAUAGUAAAGAACGAAGUAGUAAGAUGUUAAGGUUUCAAGACUACUUCAAAAUUAAAAAGUACAAAAGGCAUGGUGUAGACUGCAUAGUUUCUUUUCUAUAAAAGAGAGGAGGGAAAGUUAAUAAAACCUAUGGAAAAAUAAUUCUAAGAUCAAGAUUUAGCUGAAUAAUAAUUUUAAAAAUAUCUGAGUGGGAACGUGAGGAAGUAGGGAAUUGACAAGAUUUCAACAAUGAAUAAGGCAAUGAAUCAAUCCGUGUCUUUGGGAAAGGACAAAGCAGUCAAUCAAACCCUCUAGGAUAAGAUCAAGAACUGAGGAAGGCUCGAUCAUAGAAAGGCCCACGAAGGAAAAUUCUAUUGUUUCUCAGGAGCUUCUCCAGGUGUUAUUAAUCUUUCAUAAGGAGGCUACUCAUGUCAAUAAAACAUUAGCACACUGUCAUCUCGACCUGCCACUGGUGUGAGUAAGGCUGGAGGACAGGCUGUACGCUGAGUUAAGCUGCAUUAGUAUACUAUUGUUACCACCUUUAUUUUCCUGACUCAUUCCUGGGCUGUGGACUGGGAGCUCCCACUGCCUACUUCAGAUCUCCACAUGGCUUUCCCAUAACCAGCACACACAACAUCUGCCUGAACCUAAUUUAUAAACUUCCAGCUCUAGGGCGUCUCCAGCUGCAGAGCUUGCCACAGUGGGAAUGAGUCCUGUCCUCUAACCACUGCUGCGGGAUGUGGCCCACCAGAUACCAUCCUCUGCCUUCUCUCAGUUGUAUAAAUGCAGUAGUUCCCUAACAGGUCGUUUUCCCUUUCCUCCAGUCACACUCCAGGCAUGCUAGGUUCUCUCACACCCCAUGAAUCUCUUCACCUUCCAUGGCUCUUUCCUGCCAAGUUAUUUAUCUGCCCCAGUGUACAUUUUCUUUUUUCUUUUUUCUUUUUUUUUUUGGUCUAACUGAGGAACAAUGCCUGUUUUGCUUACCCUGGAAACUAUCAGAAGCUUUGACAUAAGAAAAUUUCACAACACAUCAUUCAGUUAAAGGACUUUUUUUUCUUAAAUUCAUCCCACAUGCCAUCAAAUAUGUAUAAUAAUAUCCUUAUAUAAAUCAUAAAUGUAAAUGUAAGAUAAGAUAAAAAUAAGAAGUUAAACUCACAGAAGAAAUGAAGUCCUCUAAAGGGAAGGACAUCAAGUACUAACUGAGGUUGACAACUGAGACCUGGAGAAGCAUCACCGACCGACCGAAGGACCGUCAGGUACUCACGGGCAGUCAGUGCAGACACACCUCCCCUGGAAACACCACUAACAUGCCAAGAACAUCAUUGCUGUUAGUUCUAAAAUGACAGUAACGCUACUAUGUGGAAGGCAAAUUGAUAUCAUUGUAAUAUUUAAUGUUUGUAUCUUCAUAUACUUUCAAAACACUGAAAGCAGCAUGGGUAUAUUUUCAAAAUAAGCAUACCAUGCUAAAAUCAGAGUUAUAAAAAUUAUGUUUGGAUGAGACAGAAAAGGGGAUAUUUAAAGGUAAAUAAUAACAGAAAGGAUUGGUCACCUUUUUAACUUUCCAGUUUUACUUCAAUGUUUUAAUAUUUUUAUUAUUAAUGUAAAACACUUCUUAAAUUAGCUCUGUAACUUCUUAGUCAUGUAGCAUGUUUCAAACCUGUAUAUACAACAUGCCUAUACUUUCCUAUCCUCACCAGACUUUACGUGGUGUGGGGAGGCAGUGGGGGGGGGGGGGGCACAUGAAUGUGUGGUUGUGUAAUCUGUGUAUCCAGAAGCCAGGAGGGCCCAGGGCUCCUCCUCAUCACUGUCUACCUUGUUUGAGACAGGUUCUCUUACUGAACCAGGAGUUUGCUGCCUCAGCUACGUGACUGACCAGCAGGCUCUCAGGACCUACUUACUGUCUCCCCCCCCACCCCACCCCCAGGGCUGCAUGUCAGGUCGGGAUCCACUCAGGUCCUCAUUCCCACAGAGAAUUCGCUAACCCACCCAGUGAGCUCUCAGCUUCUUUCCUGUUUCUAUUUACACUGUAACAUCAGUGAAACCUGCACGGCUCUGAUGGGCGGUGGACCAACCAUGACAGUCACUGGCUGUGUGGAAGUCUGGGGAUGACUCUCAGAGCCAGCUCUCUCCUGCCACCUGAUGGAAUCCAGAAGUCUAAUGGGUUGCCAGUCUUGGGUGAGCACUUAAGCCCUCUGCAACUGCAUUUGUAAGACGCCACAUGCAUGAAACCACUGCUACUAAAAGGAAGAAUCUACAUGACUAACAAUAUAAAGGGCACAUCUAAAAUCUUGAUAAAGACUUAUACAGAAUACGGUAUGUUUGACAAAUCAGAAAACUAAUAAAUGCAUCCAGGAAUAAAAGAAAGUAUGGCACCACAAGUCUUAAUUACAUACUUACAGUAUCUAUUUCAACCACUAGAGGGCAGGAAUGGUAUACCAUUCUUUAACCAUUAAAGAUUUUCUUAAAACUUUAAUAAAUCCUAACUAUAUUUCUUAUUGUAGUAUUACACAAUCUAUAUUAAAGCUCUGCACAAAUGGAAGGCAAAGGUGGGAAACACAUGCUCUUUAGCAGAUGAAAUUAAUUUUGACUUCAAUGCUCCCUAAAAGCCUUUAGUGAGAUAGACUGAUUUUGAAUAAAGAAUUUCAGUGAAUGGAUGCAA